rnacentral:sRNA from 1 species
AAGGGAUAUUACAAGAAUGUGCUUCCUCCUGCCCUCCUUUCCCCUUUCAUUGGCUGUAUCUCCCUCACCUCCCCAAAUGUUCAUCUAACAUACACAACCCCUGCCAAAAAAUUCACCCACCCAACCAAACAGACAAUGUAAUGAACUGGUUUUUGCCUUUGGUGGUUGAAGUGGAUACAUUUUUAUUCCCUGAGAGUGGUGAAGGAAUCAGGCUAAAAAUGAAUGGUUCUAUUAAUGUAUCCUGUUGAGUUUCAUCUCUGUGAAAGUCACAUUUGAGGUUCAGAUGUUCAUUCGUCUACCCAGGCAUAUACAGUGUUAUUUUACUGUUUGAUUUUGAUUACAGGAUGGAAAAAUUCGAGUCACUAUUCUUGCACGGAGCACAGAAUACCGGAAAAUCCUAAACCAAAAUGAGCUUGUAAAUGCACUGAAAACAGUAUCUACAUUUGAAGUCCAGAUUGUUGAUUACAAGUAUAGGUAAGUAAUAGCCAAUCUCAGCAGACACUGUCAACUUUUGCUUGGAUGAGGUCAAGGGGGCUAGAAAGCAUUUU